UCACCUUCAGCACCAACAUGUUUUCUGUAGCUCUGCUGCUGCUAGUAGCUGGAUCCUGUGUGAAGUGUGAACAGCUGACACAGCCAGCCUCUAUGAAUGUGCAGCCAGGUCAACAUCUGACCAUCAGCUGUCAGGUCUCUUAUUCUCUGAGCUACUGGACAGCUUGGAUCAGACAGCCUGCAGGGAAAGGACUGGAGUGGAUUGGGAUGAACGACAAUGGUGGAAAUUCAUACUACAAAGAUUCACUGAAGAACAAGUUCAGUAUAGACGUAGACACCUCCAGCAGCACAGUGACUCUAAACGGACAGAAUAUGCAGCCUGAAGACUCUGCUGUGUAUUACUGUGCUAGAGUAGACGACAGUGACACAGUGACACAAACCAGCAGCAGAGCUGUACAAAAACCCCUCAGAGCCUGA